UACAGGGGGGGCAAGCGUUGUUCGGAAUUACUGGGCGUAAAGGGCUCGUAGGCGGCCAACUAAGUCCGACGUGAAAUCCCAAGGCUUAACCUUGGAACUGCGUCGGAUACUGGUUGGCUUGAAUUCGGGAGAGGGAUGCAGAAUUCCAGGUGUAGCGGUGAAAUGCGUAGAUACCUGGAGGAAUACCGGUGGCGAAGGCGGCAUCCUGGACCGACAUUGACGCUGAGGAGCGAAAGCUAGGGGAGCAAACGGG
rnacentral:rRNA from 1 species